rnacentral:rRNA from 1 species
GACGAACGCUGGCGGCGCGCCUAACACAUGCAAGUCGAACGGAGUCAAGAGGAGCUUGCUUUUCUUGACUUAGUGGCGAACGGGUGAGUAACGCGUGAGUAACCUGCCCUGGAGUGGGGGACAACAGUUGGAAACGACUGCUAAUACCGCAUAAGCCCACGGAUCUGCAUGGAUCUGCGGGAAAAGGAUUUAUUCGCUCUAGGAUGGACUCGCGUCCAAUUAGCUAGUUGGUGAGGUAACGGCCCACCAAGGCGACGAUUGGUAGCCGGACUGAGAGGUUGAACGGCCACAUUGGGACUGAGACACGGCCCAGACUCCUACGGGAGGCAGCAGUGGGGGAUAUUGCACAAUGGGGGAAACCCUGAUGCAGCGACGCCGCGUGGAGGAAGAAGGUUUUCGGAUUGUAAACUCCUGUCGUUAGGGACGAUAAUGACGGUACCUGAUAAGAAAGCACCGGCUAACUACGUG